AUUGAACGCUGGCGGCAGGCCUAACACAUGCAAGUCGAGCGAGCGGCGGACGGGUGAGUAGUGUUUGGGGACUGCCUGAUCGAGGGGGAUAACUACUGGAUACGGUGGCUAAUACAGCAUACUAUCGGAUAACCCAUAUGGGAUUAGCUAGUCGGUGGGGUAAUGGGUCACCUAGGCGACGAUCGCUAGCUGGUCUGAGAGGCUGAGCAGCAACACGGGGACUGCGAGACGGCCGAUACGCCUACGGAGGCAGCAGUGGGGAAUAUUGCACAAUGUGCGCAAGCCUGAUGCAGCCAUGCCGCGUGUAUGAAGAAGGCCUUAGGGUUUUAAAGUACGUUCAGCGGGGAGGCGUUACCCGCAGAAGAAGCGCCGGCUAACUCCGUGCCAGCAGCCGCGGUAAUUC
rnacentral:rRNA from 1 species